UACGUAGGAUGCAAGCGUUGUCCGGAUUUACUGGGCGUAAAGCGCGCGCAGGUGGUUCCUUAAGUCUGAUGUGAAAGCCCACGGCUCAACCGUGGAGGGUCAUUGGAAACUGGGGAACUUGAGUGCAGAAGAGGAAAGUGGAAUUCCAAGUGUAGCGGUGAAAUGCGUAGAGAUUUGGAGGAACACCAGUGGCGAAGGCGACUUUCUGGUCUGUAACUGACACUGAGGCGCAAAAGCGUGGGGAGCAAACAGG
rnacentral:rRNA from 1 species